rnacentral:tRNA from 1 species
CGGAAUGUAGCGCAGCCUGGUAGCGCACUUCGUUCGGGACGAAGGGGUCGGAGGUUCAAAUCCUCUCAUUCCGACCA